AAGCUCUCUCAAGCUGGAUGGCAGACUGAGAGGCUGUGUGUCAAUGGGUCUCCCUGAAGAAACCAAUUUAGGAGCUGCCAAGGACUUUGGAUUAUCUUUUAAAGGAAGUGACAAGAGGACAACUUCAAAGGAAAUUGGGAGGACCUUUAUGGAUUAAUGUAGAGAAGUGAAAAGAAAUGGAAGAACAAUGUGUACAAUGACAACAGUAUUAUAGAGACAAGCAGUUUUGAAAGACUAGAAUUCUGAUCCAUGCAAUAAUAAACUGUAAGAGCAGAAGACUGAAGCUAAAAUACAUCAACUACCUGUUACUACCAGAGUGGUGAUGAACGUAAAAUGAAGAGAAAGAUAAAGGCAUGGCUAAUGUGGAAAUUCAGAAGACUAAAGAUAAAACAUAUCAACUACCUGCUACUAGAGUGCUGAUAAACUUAAAAUGCAGAGAAAUAACUGUUUUCAGGCAUGGCCCAAAAUAUGAGAGGGGCAGAUUAGAAAUGCAAGUAAAAAUAAAUAAAUUUAUUAAAAAAAACCACAACCCAAGGUAGCACAUGUCCAACAUUUACUUUCUAUCUUUGGGACAUUUUAUGUUAGAAAAUACUAAUAAAAUUACUUAUUAAUGACAUUA